rnacentral:misc_RNA from 2 species
AGGUGACCUGAUUAAAUAUGAGGAGGCGCU